GACGAACGCUGGCGGCGUGCCUAAUACAUGCAAGUAGAACGCUGAAGGAGGAGCUUGCUUCUCUGGAUGAGUUGCGAACGGGUGAGUAACGCGUAGGUAACCUGCCUGGUAGCGGGGGAUAUCUAUUGGAAACGAUAGCUAAUACCGCAUAAGAGUAGAUGUUGCAUGACAUUUGCUUAAAAGGUGCAAUUGCAUCACUACCAGAUGGACCUGCGUUGUAUUAGCUAGUUGGUGGGGUAACGGCUCACCAAGGCGACGAUACAUAGCCGACCUGAGAGGGUGAUCGGCCACACUGGGACUGAGACACGGCCCAGACUCCUACGGGAGGCAGCAGUAGGGAAUCUUCGGCAAUGGACGGAAGUCUGACCGAGCAACGCCGCGUGAGUGAAGAAGGUUUUCGGAUCGUAAAGCUCUGUUGUAAGAGAAGAACGAGUGUGAGAGUGGAAAGUUCACACUGGGACGGUAUCUUACCAGAAAGGGACGGCUAACUACGU
rnacentral:rRNA from 1 species